GCAGACGGGUGAGUAAUGCGUAGGAACCUACCUGAUAGUAGGGGAUAGCCGAUGGAAACGUCGGGUAAUACCUUAUAUUCCCUGAGGGGGAAAGAUUUAUCGCCAAAAGAUGAGUCCGCGUACGAUUAGCUAGUUGGUGAGGUAAUGGCUCACCAAGGCGACGAUCGUUAGCUGGUCUGAGAGGACGAUCAGCCACACUGGGACUGAGACACGGCCCAGACUCCUACGGGAGGCAGCAGUGGGGAAUAUUGGACAAUGGGGGCAACCCUGAUCCAGCCAUGCCGCGUGAGUGACGAAGGCCUUCGGGUUGUAAAGCUCUUUUGGCGGGGACGAUGAUGACGGUACCCGCAGAAUAAGCCCCGGUUAACUUCGUGCCAGCAGCCGCGGUAAGACGAAGGGGGCUAGCGUUGUUCGGAAUUACUGGGCGUAAAGCGAGUGUAGGUGGUUGUCCAAGUUGGAUGUGAAAGCCUUGAGCUUAACUCAGAAAUGCAUUCAGGACUGGGCGACUAGAGGACCGGAGAGGAUAGUGGAAUUCCCAGUGUAGUGGUGAAAU
rnacentral:rRNA from 1 species